CAUUCCCAGGGGAGAAGAGUUGCUUUUUGCAUGUGGAAAGAAGAUUCCAGGGACAAGGCAGCGUUCUCAAGGCAGUGUAGUCACAAAGGAGACCUCAGUGAACCCCCGGGAAGCAGUGGAUCUGGGGCAGCCCUGCAGAGUCGUUCUGAAGAAUUGAGGCAAGAUGAACUCACCUGUCAUGCUGAGAGAAGCCCAAGCUACAAGGAAAGGCCAUAUGUAGAUGCUUUGGUCAACCAUCCCAGAGAAGCCCAGCCUUGGAAUCAUCUCAGCUCAGAAAUGCUACGCAUAGAAUUUCAUGGAAAAGAAGCAUUUCGUCUUCAAAGGAAGUUGUGAGGAAUAUGGAAACACGGACCCCUCUGCCUUCCAACUUCAAGUAUACAACACUUUGCAGCAAAACAUUCGAUGUCUGCAGAGCUGGCCUUGGCUUACAGACCACACACCGUCCGCUGGACUUGUUGCCCCGUGGCCACGCCCACCACUCCCCUCUUCUAGG